GCUGUUUUGUUGAUGUGCGAGAGUAACUUUUAUUGUAUUAUUUUAUUUGUGUUCCCAUAGGCAAACUCACCGUUUGUAGAUUAAACUUGGAUUAUUUAUCACAAAAGAAGAUAUAAGUACGGUGGCUGGGAAGUGCAAAGCACAUUUACAACAUAGACAACAAAAUAACAUUUCAAAAAGCACUUCUACAUAAAAAAAAAGGCAAAUAACAAAUUGACAACAAAAUAACAAGUCUGCAACAAAUUAACAAGUGGCUCUUGACGGAAAGGGAUUGUCUGAAAUACCGGAAGUAACUCAACAAUGUUUCUGGCCCAAACAAAGCGCUAGCGGAAGAGGAGCGAAAGCACACGGAUAACACCAGCUAUGUGCGGUCGGUUGUAAUGUUAGAUCGCACGACCGGCAAGGGAAUAAGCUUGAAAUGGUUUAUCUUUUCAUUCUUUCCCCACCUGGAAGCAACAUGAGGCAGCUCAUGUAUCAGAUGUUACCAAAAGAAGACGUCUAGUCUGGAUAGCAGCUGUGAGACGAGCUGAUAUCCAGCUCUCUUCCAUCUCCAAAUAUCUGUUGGUGCUCCAGACAUUUUCAUUCCGGCAAACCAGCCUAUGAAAUGGAUGAAACACAUCGUGACUGGGUUCCAGCGCUACACAUGGGGCACUCCGAAAUCCCUGCUUCAAACAUACCGCCAUGCCAAUCAGAUUACUUCUUCCAUGUGAGGGUGAAGAUGUGACCCUUCUGGAUAAGAUGGUGAAGCAAGGGCGUAGAUUUGGCAUGGACGGAAGGGACAUGUCCCCACCAAUAAUUUGAUCUCUUCGAGUAAAGAAAAACAAACCCGAUAGAAAGAGGAAAAAAAAAAAACGAUCUUUCAACGUCUCAUUCACCCAGCGGUGCAGAAAGAUUUAAAUUACGUUCGCUACUGGAGUCCUACCUCAUGUGACAAAUAUGGCCAAUGUGAUUGGCUGUGCCUUUCGGGGAGCUCUGUUUAGUUUUAGCAGCGGCAAGCCUGCGCUGCGAGGACCUGCAAGGAGGAGAGGAGGAUGGCAGCAAAAAGGAAGAACCUGGAUAUAAGAAAGUAUUUUUCAAAGAAACCUGUAAGUCACUUAAAGUUAAGCUCACUCAUAAAAUGUGUCCGUCAUAAUAACGUUACAGGCUAUGCUAGGCUUUGGCCCACAUGAGUCUAAAAUUGUAUGUAACCAUGAAUAACGUGUUUUGGAAACUAACUGCACAACACGCAGCACUAUUAGUUAUCUCAGUCUCCCAGAGUAGCAUUUCUAAUUUUGAUUGAAAGUGUCAGAGAAAAUGGCAGCCUCGAGCAAGCCAGGAUAUUAGUUUACAGAGGCUGUUAAAAUUAUAUGUCUAACGUUAAAAUGUUGGUGACACAAUAAUUUCAUCCUAAUGGUACUGACAUAUUCAUAGGGUUGAUUUUUGAGACAAUAUAUCAUGAGGUAGUCAUGAUUUUGCAAAUAUUCCACCUUGUAGUGCAGUUUGCACAAAUUGUUUUAAAAAUGCACUCACCCUACAAACAUUACUGAUGAGUCAAGAUCUGCACAAAUUGACAGAAACACUGAAGCAGCUAUUUUAUUCUUAUUGUCAUGUAUGUGCUAUUUGUCAGGUGACAGAAGAACCAACACAAAGCUCAGAGAGCAAUGGCGAUACAAGAUCACAGAAACCUGCCUGCAGAGAAUGAACCUAAAGUAUGUAAUGCAAGGAUGUGAUCACUUUCAAGAUGGAGAAAGCAUAAAGUUCGACUUUAAGAGACAAUUAUGGACACGUAAUAUGAUAAGGAGAUUCUGCAGGUCAUUAAUCAAUGUAUAAAAAUAAAAUAAAAUGUAUUUUUAGUGACACAGGACACAA
ensembl:lncRNA